rnacentral:lncRNA from 1 species
CAGCCAGUGCUAAUGAAGUUUCAAGAGUACUUUUGGAGAGAACUGACAUCUUUAUAAUGUGAAGUCAAACACUCCAUGGAUAUAGAAAUCUCGACUGAAAUAAAAAAAAAAUACUUCUAGAAGUCACUGUGUAACUCUGUGGGAAGUCAGCAGUAGCUGAGGUAGAAGGAUGGCCAAUCUUAUUAAGCACUGCUUACAAUAGCAAAUACCUGGA